GGCUUUUUCAUCACCACAACUGUACCUCUCCGGCGAAGGGAAAUCCAUGGCACUUACCGCCUAUCAUCUUCUACUUGGAUUCUUAAUUCUCCAUUUCCAAGCAUUUCCCCUACGAAAUCCAUUGCAAAUCGUUCAAGCUUCUCCGCUGUGUACCCAAUCACUUCACGCGGCCAAACUGCUUUUGUUGGUGAGGUCCGCAGAAAAGAUCAAAAAAUUUGUUGGCCAUUUCUUUUGCUUGGUGACUAUGAGGAAUCCAACAAAGAAUCAGAUGUGCCUCCACUAUAUGUCCCUGAGUUCAAAUGGUAGGGUUGCCGUAACUGUCUCCAAAGAACUGAUGGUUCAGAUGAUGCAGCAGACAUUAGACUGGUUUCCAAUUGUAAACCAUCUGCUCGUACAAUUUGUGGAUCAAGAAAUUUUGAUGUCAACCCUUCAGUAGAUGUAAUUGGUUUUGAAAUUUGUUCAUUGGCACAUGAUCACGUGAAAGAAAAGGUAGCCAAUGCCACGUCCAUCAUUAGACAAGAUUUAUUGUCACCUGAAACUACAACAAUAUUGCGGUAAAUGAUGUUGAUGAGACAAUGAAAGAACCAAUUUCUUCUAAAAUGAAGGUUGCUCAAGUUAUCAAUGGAGAAUUCCAUAAAGGGGCAGAAGCGAUACAUCUCAACUUGGAAAACAGUGGACUUGUCCAAUUUGGUUAUAAAAACUAUUGAAGUAGAGAAGUGUACAAAGGUAUGUUGGAAUGUGUGAAUAACAGUUUCACUGAAGUAUUCCAAAAGGAGAAGGGUAUAGUUUCCAUAAUAGCUAAAUCAAGUGAAUAAGUCAAGGACAUGAAGUGACACCGGAAACUUGAGCUCGGGACUCUGGAAAAUGAGGUUGUUCGUUCUCUCAUUGGUUUUCAUACAAGCAAACAUAAUCCUUUGGAAUUCACUGAGAAUGAGGAUGACAAGGAUGCACAUGGUUUCUCAAGCCUGUAAUUUUCUUUUGUUGUAUUUAUAUAAUCUGAACGUAUACGUGCAAUCUACAGUGUCUCUUUUUCAACUUGCAUGCUUUACACUUCAUCUCUUGCACGUUUGCCUCUAUGAACAGGUUAUCUACUACCCCAAUUUCAAGACUUUGUUCAACUUUAUCUUUUCAUGUCAGGAUCUCUCCUUCAUAUACAGUUAUGAGUACAACACGGAUGUCCAAGGGCAUUCAGAAGCCAUUAAAGACCAAAGUAAUGGAAGGGCUGAUAAGACGCAUGAAUUGGAAUCUUUAAAUGGCAUUCCUGUGGAAAUUGUGGAGCUCUUAGCCAAGAACCGACAGGCGUCGUUUAGAAGCUGAGAAUGCCAAGGAGAACACAUUAUGCAUGUAAAAGAAAACCAAGAAUGCGACAGAUUCUGAAAUAUCUAAGUUCAGUGGUUUUCGUGACAAGGAGAUGUUGGGAUAUCCAAUGCAGUAGGUAGGAUGUCUGCUGCGAGUAGAAGUGUGGUACUUGAACCUGUAGAAGAAUCAAUAGCCUACUUUUCUCAUCUUAAGAAAACCUGUAAAAGCAGUGGUUCCAAAAUAAAACAAUCAGAAGGAUCUCAUGACACUAAGGGAGCUUUUGCAUUUUCGGACUCUCCAGUGAACCUUUCAAGUGGAAACCUAUUUCCUAAAGUUGGCGCUAGCAAGAAAUGGUGUUAAAAGUUGCAGAUGGGAUGAGGAUAAGCUGGUGAAUGGAUGUCCUAAUUCUUUGUUUCAGUGUUCAACAUCAUGUCAUAAACGUCGAAUUAUUUCUAGUUCCACACAAGUUAGAGGAGCACACCAAUGUGUCUAUGCUGAAUGCAGCAGAUUGUCCUUUUCGAACUGAAAGCUCUCAGAAAUCUCCAACUUUGUCGCAAAUGCCAAAUUGGAACAUUCAUUUAGAGACCUUCCAGAAGAUAAAUGAAGAACACAGCCAUGUGCAUGCACAAACAAAAGAAUUGAAAAUUUGCCAAAUCCUGUUGGUCAACUGGAGUUAUGUUCCAAUGGAACCUUGCCUGCCACGCAAUUACUGAAACUCAUGGAUGCUGGGAUGAGCACAAAGGUAUCAAGAAAAGUAGAUAAAAACAUGGAGUUCGCUAAUCAGCCUUCAUUUCCUCAUAUUAGUCAUCGUAGUGGCAUUUUCCCACUAAAAUGGAGGACUACUCCGAGAUUCCUUUGCAGAUUAUAGGGGAGGGAGGUCAAUUGAGUAUUUUGCUUCAGUUCCCAUUUCCGAUGCUUUUGCUUUCCAAGGUCAGGGGAUAGGAAUUGUGUCGGAAAAAGCCAGAUUGUGAGUCAGGUUCUCAGAAAAUGGUGAAUGGUAGGCUUAAAUCUAAGGGAACGAAAAGAAGGAAAAGCUUUGAUUAUCCCAUUGCUGUGCACGAUGCAGACUGUAAAAUUACACAGGUUUGGAGGUUUGGGGAAAAAGAAAAAGUCCUUUCACAUCGAUGGUUUGAAGGCGGAGUUUCAUCUUCAUUCGAGCUCAAUGAUGGUGCCUUCCAAAUCUGGUUUGGUUGAAAGCUCAAUUGGCUAUGUCGAGGUAGAAAAGAAGGUAGGAACAGUUGCACUGAUGGAAGGCAAUUGUGGGACAGUUGAACAGUUGAUCUUAUGCGCUCUUAACCGGAAAAGGUUUGGAGGACCAAAAUAUGGAGAUAGAGGAAUGAAUGAUGAAUUGGAGCAAAUAAAUCAUCCAAAACACCUUUUUGGAAUAGUAAAAUAUGAAGUUAUGGA